ensembl:lncRNA
GAGUCAGAAACACUCAGGAUGGGACCUAGCAGUCUGUGUUUUAACAAGUCCUCCAGGUGAUUCUGAUGCUAGCUUAGCAGUGGAGAACCAUGGCUUUAAAGCAGCGAUGAGGACAGUUGCUGCUGCUGCUUCUGCUAAGUUGCUUCAGUCGUGUUCGACUCUGCGACCCUAUGGACGACAGCCCACCAGGCUCCCCCGUCCCUGUGAUUCUCCAGGCAAGAACACUGAAGUGGGUUGCCAUUUUCUUCUCCAGUGCAUGAAAGUGAAAAGUGAAGGUGAAAUCGCUCAGUCGUGUCUGACUCUUAGCGACCGCAUGGACUGCAGGCUAUCAGGCUCCUCCGGCCAUGGGAUUUUCCAGGCAAGAGUACUGGAGUGGGGUGCCAUUGCCUUCUCCGGAUGAGGAGAGUAGAACACAGCUAAACUUUUGUGCUGUAAAUGCUACUUCAGAAUUAUAAACUCCAAUGUGAUAAAAUUGGCUGGGAAUCACUUGCUCUGGAACUUCUUAGGAGUAUGAGACUGGAUAACAGCAGAAACUAACGAAGAACUGUACCUUCAUGUCUGAGUUCUACUAACUGUUGCUAGCAGCCUGGCAGUGUGUGUCUACAAUGCUUGUCCUACAGUUUUCAACUAAUCAACUGUCACAGAUACAUCACCAUGAGAAGGAAACAAGUAGCUUUUUUUCUCUGGCUCACUGGGCAUACCAUGAAGGUGGUCAGAGCCCUGGCCCUCUCCUCUCCCCACCCCUUCUCCUGGAGUCUUCAUCCCGUGGCCUACAUCUGUGCACUUUAGCUGCAUACGGCUAUUUCAAUUAAAAAUUUUUUUUUCCAUUCAUAUAAACAUUUAUUUGCUAUUUGAACUUCGGAAUUGACUUCAAAUGAGCAUUGGAAGAUAACAAAUCAAUAUAGAUGCUUUGUAGUAUAAUUUUCCAAAUAACUUGUUAAGAUCUUUUUUAUAAAAUUAGCUGGGACAGCCCAAAUGUGGCAUUUUAUGUAGCCAGAAGAAAUUGCUUUUUGGAUGAAUGAUAACAUGGCAGAAUGUUUUCACAUAGCAAAAUUGUUUAAUCGUUUAAUAAAAAAGAAAAGCAUACAAAAUGAAAAAAAAAAAAAAAAACCCAAACACAUUUUAACUGGCUUAAUCUCACUGGGCAAUUGCUGGGGAGUUCUUCGUUUUCUCUCCAAUCUAUUUGACUUUACUGAUUUUUGACAUUUUAAUUCUUCCUCAGCAUUCUGAGAAAUGCUUUCCCAUUAGAAGCACUGAUCCUGGCUUCUAUACUCCUGGGUGAGGUAUUGUAAUCAUCUGUUUAAACAGGCCACCAUAUCCACACCCCAGUAGGAAGGCGAGAAUCAAGGGAGGUUUUCUGGAUUAUCU